AUACGGAGGGUCCGAACGUUAAUCGGAAUUACUGGGCGUAAAGCGCGCGCAGGCGGUUUGGUAAGUGGGAUGUGAAAGCCCCGGGCUCAACCUGGGAAUUGCAUUCCAAACUGCCGGACUAGAGUAUGGUAGAGGGAGGUAGAAUUUCCUGUGUAGCGGUGAAAUGCGUAGAUAUAGGAAGGAAUACCGGUGGCGAAGGCGGCCUCCUGGACCAAUACUGACGCUGAGGUGCGAAAGCGUGGGGAGCAAACAGGAUUAGAAACCCCGGUAGUCC
rnacentral:rRNA from 1 species